rnacentral:rRNA from 1 species
AAUGAACGCUGGCGGCAGGCCUAACACAUGCAAGUCGAACGGAUCCUUCGGGAUUAGUGUCGGACGGGUGAGUAACGCGUGGGAACAUACCCUUUGGUACGGAAUAGCCUCGGGAAACUGGGAGUAAUACCGUAUGUGGUCGAGAGACGAAAGAUUUAUCGCCAAAGGAUUGGCCCGCGUUGGAUUAGGUAGUUGGUGGGGUAAUGGCCUACCAAGCCGACGAUCCAGAGCUGGUAUGAGAGGAUGAUCAACCACACUGGGACUGAGACACGGCUCAGACUCCUGCGGGAGGCAGCAUUGGGGAAGCUUAGACAAUGGGGGAAACCCUAAUCUAGCCAUGCCGCGUGAUCGAUGAAGGCCUUAGGGUUGUAAAGAUCUUUCAGGUGGGAAGAUAAUGACUGAACCACCAGAAGAAGCCCCGGCUAACUCCGUGCCAGCCGCCGCCGUAA